GAUGAAGAACGUAGCGAAAUGCGAUAAGUAAUGCGAAUUGCAGAAUUUCCGUGAGUCAUCGAAUCUUUGAACGCACAUUGCGCCCAUUGGUAUUCCGAUGGGCAUGCCUGUUUGAGUGUCAUAUAAACCUCACCUCUACUGUUUUUCAUUAGACAUGUGGACUGGUGCUUUGGGCGUCUGCCGUUUACUCUGGCUCGCCUUAAAUGUCUAAGUGGAAUGCGUAAUAAGUCUUCGCAACCCUCCACUCUAAUACAAACUUUUAUAUUCUGACCUCAAAUCAGGUAGGACUACCCGCUGAACUUAAGCAUAUCAAUAAGCGGAGGA
rnacentral:misc_RNA from 1 species